UGAGCUAGUGAAGUGCAUCAAGGAGGAGGAUGAUACAGUAUUGGUUGAGGAUGUCCUCAUUAGGAAGAGGUGGCAGUCCUAUUUUCAUAAACUUUUGAACGAUGAGGGGAACAAAGGUUUCGUGCUGGGGGACUUGGAGAAUUCUGAGAGGUGUCGCGAUAAUGGUUAUUGUAGGCGUACCAAGGUUGAGGAGGUCAAGGGGGGCUAUUCGCAGGAUGCGUAGGGGGAGGGUGACUGAGCCAGACAAGAUUCCGGUGGAUUUUUGGAAGAGCACUGGCGGGAAAGGUUUGGAGUGGUUGAUAAGGUCGCGUUUAACAUCAUUUUCUGGGCGGCGAAGGUGUCCAAGUGUGGAGGUGGAGUACAAUGAUUCCAUUAUAUAAUAACAAGGGGGACAUCCAGAGUUGCAACAACUAUAGGGGUAUCAAGUUGUUGAGUCCUACUAUAAAGAUUUGAGAAAGGGUGGUAGAGUUGAGGCUGAUGAGGGUUGUGACUGUCUCUGAGAAUCAGUUCGGUUUCAUGUCAGGUCGCUCGACUACUGAGGCCAUUCACCUUAUGAGAAGAUUAGUGGAGCAGUUUCGGGAGAGGAAGAAGGACUUGCACAUGGUGUUCAUUGAUCUUGAGAAGCAUAUGACAGAGUUCCCAGGGAGAUUUUAUGGAGGUGCUUGGAGGCUAGAGGGGUGCCUGUGGCGGACACUAGGUCGAUUCAGGUAAUGUAUGAUGGCGCGAAGACUCGCGUGAGAAUGGUAGGUGGAGAUUCGGAGCACUUUCCGAUUUUGAUAGGGUUGCACUACGGAUCGACUCUUAGCCCAUUUUUAUUUUCUUUGGUGAUGGAUGUUUUGACGCGACGUAUUCAAAGGGAGGUGCCUUGGUGUAUGUUAUUUGCUGAUGAUGUGGUUUUGAUUGACGAGACUCGGGGAGAAGUUAAUGAUAAGUUGGAGAUUUGGAGAUAGACCCUUGAAUCUAAAGGAUUUCGGUUGAGCAGGACCAAGACGGAGUAAUUGGAAUGUAAGUUUAGUGAUGUUUCGCAGGAGGUUGACAUGGUAGUGAAACUAGAUUCUCAGGCUAUUCAGAAAAGGGAGAGUUUCAAGUAUCUGGGGUCGAUGAUUCAAGGGAUUGGUGAGAUUGACAAGGAUGUCACACUCCAUAUUGGUGCAAGGUGGUUGAAAUAGAGACUUGCUUCGGGAGUUUUAUGUGAUAAGAAGGUGCCUCCAAAGCUGAAAGGUAAGUUCUACAGAGUGACAGUCAGACUGGCUCUAUUGUAUGGAGUGGAGUGUUGGCCAGUUAAGAACUUCCGCAUUCAAAUGUUAAAGGUGGCGGAGAUGAGGAUGUUGCGAUGGAUGCGUCCCCUUAUCGGGAAAGAUAGGGUGAGGAAUGAGAUUAUUCGGGAGAAGGCGAGAGUGACUUCGGUAGAGGACAAGAUAAGAGACGUGUGGUUACGUUAGUUCGGGCACGUGAUGAGGAGGGACUUGGAUGCUCCAAUACGGAGAUGUGAGACAUUGGCUAUAGAUGGUUUUAGGCGGGGUAAAGAUACUGGAGGGAGGUGAUUAGGCAUGAUAUGGAGCAGUUACAGCUUACGGAGGACAUGACCCUUGAUAGGAAGGUGUAGAAAACGCGGAUUAGGGUAGAGGUUUAGGGGGUGCGAUUGUGUUGGUAGUAGUAGGGGAGAGUACUUUGUUUGUGUCUGGAAUUUCUUGUUCGUGGUGUUUGAGUGACGUCUAUGAUUUCGAAUAGAUAAUUUAUAGUAUUAUCUUAUGGUUGAAGGGGAGCCUUGGAGUAACCGGUAAAGUUGCUGUCAUGUGAUCAGGAGGUCACGGGUUCAAGCCUUGGAAACAGCCUCUGGCAGAAAUGUAAGGUAAGACUGUGUGCGAUACACCCUUGUGGUGGGGCCCUUCCCUGGACACUGCACUAGUUAGUGCACCGGGCUGCCCCAUUUUAGUAUUAUCUUAUUGUUGUAUUGUUUCCUGUAUUAGCUAGUAGUGUUAGUUUAUUUUGUAUAUUGCAUUAGUUUAUAUGCAUUUAUGUUUUGUGUUUGUUAUACUGUUGUCGGUCCUGAGUCGGGGGUCUAUCGGAAACAGUCUCUCUAUUUCACCUAAGGUAGUGGUAUGGUCUGCGUAUACUCUACCCUCUCUACCCUCCCCAGACCCCUCUAUGUGGGAAUACACUAAGUAUGUUGUUGUUGUAGCUACCAAACAUUGUAUAACUUAUACAAAAAUUAAUACAUGAAUAAGUUGCUGCUCUACUAGCUACCAAACGACCCUAGAAUGUUUAUUAUUGUUGUUGUGAAUUAAAUAUGAGAUAAAAUGAUCUGAGAUUCUUUUUUAAUUAUUAGUCACCUAGCCCACCAACCUUAACUUUGGAGUAUAGCUAAGCAGCCAGAUCAGCAGGGCUGUGCAAAAAUCGAACCGAUCGAUAAAAAUGUUAUUGGGUUAUUGGUAUUGGGUUAUCGGGUUAACUGUUUUUUAUUGGUUUUAUAAAAAAAUUUAUUGGGUAAACGGUUCAGUAUCGGUUGUAGCUUAUUGACCGAUAACCCAAUAAGGAUACACUUAGUUAUUGUUUUAUCCCUAUUUAUGUUAUAUAUUUAAAUAUCUCUCUCUCUUUAUCUAUCUAUAUAGAUUAUAUGCACUACUAAUUCAUAAUUCAGUGAUUCACAAAGUAUUAACCUAUUCAGAGCAACAAAGACACAAUAUAAAGUUCGGCUAUUAUCGUAAUAAAAAGCUUGAAGCAUUUAUAACUUCCAACAAUUAGGAUUCAAUUUUUUUCCUAACUAACAUUCAAUUCAAGUUUGAAGAUUCCAUUGCGUAGGUUUUGGCGGUAAUUAAGAUUUUAUUUUUUUAUGUUAGUUGUUACUAUUGUUAUUUUAUAAGUAUUUUCUUAUUGGUUAAAUUGAAAACCGAACCAUUAAGGACCAAAAACUGAUAAACCGAAACCGAUAAGAAAAUAUCUUAUUGGUUGGUUAUUGGUUUUACAUAUUUAAAAACCGAAAACCGAACCAAUAACACUUAAAACCUAACCGAACCGACCGAAGCCCACCCCUACAGAUCAGUUAGAUCAACUAGUGAGUUUUCACACUGUCGCCAUGUCACCACGCUACACUGAAUUUGAACCUAUACGAAAAAUGCUAUAAGUUGCAAACCAAACGUCGUAUUGGUUUUACACAGGAAUAGCUUAUUUCCUAACUAACUACCAAACAUUGUAUUAACACAAAAGUUACUUCCUGAAUAAGUUGCUUCUUUAGGUGCUACCAAACGACUCCUAAAUGUUUAUUAUUGUUCUUAUGAAUUAAGCAUGUGACAAAAGAAUCUGACAUUCUUUUUUAAUUAUUAAUCACCUUGCCCACCAAC
rnacentral:lncRNA from 1 species